GGAGCACGCCGCGUGAGUGAUGAAGGCUUUCGGGUCGUAAAACUCUGUUGUUAGGGAAGAACAAGUGCUAGUUGAAUAAGCUGGCACCUUGACGGUACCUAACCAGAAAGCCACGGCUAACUACGUGCCAGCAGCCGCGGUAAUACGUAGGUGGCAAGCGUUAUCCGGAAUUAUUGGGCGUAAAGCGCGCGCAGGUGGUUUCUUAAGUCUGAUGUGAAAGCCCACGGCUCAACCGUGGAGGGUCAUUGGAAACUGGGAGACUUGAGUGCAGAAGAGGAAAGUGGAAUUCCAUGUGUAGCGGUGAAAUGCGUAGAGAUAUGGAGGAACACCAGUGGCGAAGGCGACUUUCUGGUCUGUAACUGACA
rnacentral:rRNA from 1 species